rnacentral:rRNA from 1 species
CUCCGGUUGAUCCUGCCGGACCCGACUGCUAUCAGAGUGGGACUAAGCCAUGCGAGUCAACGUAGCAAUACGUGGCAUACGGCUCAGUAACACGUAGUCAACAUGCCCAGGGGACGAGGAUAACCUCGGGAAACUGAGGAUAAACCUCGAUAGGCCAUGAUUUCUGGAAUGAUUCUUGGCUCAAACCUAUAUGGCCCCUGGAUUGGACUGCGGCCGAUCAGGCUGUUGGUGAGGUAAUGGCCCACCAAACCUGUAACCGGUACGGGCUCUGAGAGGAGGAGCCCGGAGAUGGGCACUGAGACAAGGGCCCAGGCCCUAUGGGGCGCAGCAGGCGCGAAACCUCUGCAAUAGGCGAAAGCUUGACAGGGUUACUCUGAGUGAUUUCCGUUAAGGAGAUCUUUUGGCACCUCUAAAAAUGGUGCAGAAUAAGGGGUGGGCAAGUCUGGUGUCAGCCGCCGCGGUAAUACCAGCACCCCGAGUGGUCGGGACGUUUAUUGGGCCUAAAGCAUCCGUAGCCGGUUCUACAAGUCUUCCGUUAAAUCCACCUGCUUAACAGAUGGGCUGCGGAAGAUACUAUAGAGCUAGGAGGCGGGAGAGGCAAGCGGUACUCGAUGGGUAGGGGUAAAAUCCGUUGAUCCAUUGAAGACCACCAGUGGCGAAGGCGGCUUGCCAGAACGCGCUCGACGGUGAGGGAUGAAAGCUGGGGGAGCAAACCGGAUUAGAUACCCGGGUAGUCCCAGCUGUAAACGAUGCAGACUCGGUGAUGAGUUGGCUUAUUGCUAACUCAGUGCCGCAGGGAAGCCGUUAAGUUUGCCGCCUGGGGAGUACGGUCGCAAGACUGAAACUUAGAGGAAUUGGCGGGGGAGCA